GCUCAAAUUUGAAAUCUGGCUCUCGGGCCCGAGUUGUAAUUUGUAGAGGAUACUUUUGAUGCGGUGCCUUCCGAGUUCCCUGGAACGGGACGCCAUAGAGGGUGAGAGCCCCGUCUGGUUGGAUGCCAAAUCUCUGUAAAGUUCCUUCAACGAGUCGAGUAGUUUGGGAAUGCUGCUCUAAAUGGGAGGUAUAUGUCUUCUAAAGCUAAAUACCGGCCAGAGACCGAUAGCGCACAAGUAGAGUGAUCGAAAGAUGAAAAGCACUUUGAAAAGAGAGUUAAAAAGUACGUGAAAUUGUUGAAAGGGAAGCGUUUAUGACCAGACUUGGGCUUGGUUAAUCAUCUGGGGUUCUCCCCAGUGCACUUUUCCAGUCCAGGCCAGCAUCAGUUUUCCCCGGGGGAUAAAGGCGGCGGGAAUGUGGCUCUCUUCGGGGAGUGUUAUAGCCCACCGUGUAAUACCCUGGGGGGGACUGAGGUUCGCGCAUCUGCAAGGAUGCUGGCGUAAUGGUCAUCAACGACCCGUCUUGAAACACGGACCAAGGAGUCGUCUUCGUAUGCGAGUGUUCGGGUGUCAAACCCCUACGCGUAAUGAAAGUGAACGCAGGUGAGAGCUUCGGCGCAUCAUCGACCGAUCCUGAUGUUCUCGGAUGGAUUUGAGUAAGAGCAUACGGGGCCGGACCCGAAAGAAGGUGAACUAUGCCUGUAUAGGGUGAAGCCAGAGGAAACUCUGGUGGAGGCUCGCAGCGGUUCUGACGUGCAAAUCGAUCGUCAAAUAUGGGCAUGGGGGCGAAAGACUAAUCGAACCUUCUAGUAGCUGGUUUCCGCCGAAGUUUCCCUCAGGAUAGCAGUGUUGAACUCAGUUUUAUGAGGUAAAGCGAAUGAUUAGGGACUCGGGGGCGCUAUUUAGCCUUCAUCCAUUCUCAAACUUUAAAUAUGUAAGAAGC
rnacentral:rRNA from 1 species